UACCCGCAGCACAAGUGGUGGUCAUUAUUAUUGGGCCUAAAGCGUCCGUAGCUGGCCUGUUAGAUGCCUGGGUAAAUCGAUGCGCUCAACGUAUCGAACUCCGGGUAGACCGGCAGGCUCGAGACCGGGAGAGGUGUAGGCUACUCGCGGGGUAGGGGUAAAAUCCUGUAAUCCUGCGGGGAGGACCAGUGGCGAAGGCGCUCCACUAGAACGGCUCUGACAGUGAGGGACGAAGCCCUGGGGCGCAAACCGG
rnacentral:rRNA from 1 species